AGAGUUUGAUCCUGGCUCAGAAUGAACGUUGGCGGCAUGGAUCAGGCAUGCAAGUCGAACGAAUGCCGUGGGGGUAACUCUGCGGCGGAAGUGGCGAAAGGGGCAGUAAGGCGUGGAUAACCUGCCCCGGACUUCGGGAUAGCCCUUCUAACGAGGGGGUAAUACCGGAUGACGUAGCGUGGUGGCAUCAUCGUGCUACGAAAGUUCCGACGGUCCGGGAGGGGUUCACGUGGUAUUAGCUAGUUGGUGAGGUAACGGCUCACCAAGGCCAAGAUGCCUAGCAGGUGUGAGAGCACGACCUGCGCCACUGGCACUGGGACACUGGCCAGACUCCUACGGGAGGCUGCAGUCGAGGAUCUUCGGCAAUGGGCGAAAGCCUGACCGAGCGAUGCCGCGUGUGCGAUGAAGGCCUUCGGGUUGUAAAGCACUGUCGUGGGGGAGAAAGGCGCAAGCUUGAUCGACCCCAGGAGGAAGCUCGGGCUAAGUUCGUGCCAGCCGCCGCGGUAAUUC
rnacentral:rRNA from 1 species